rnacentral:lncRNA from 1 species
AGCUGUGUGACUCCCGGUGCAGAUAUAUAAUUAAUCGACAAACGAACAAAUAUCCGUAUUGUUCCGAGUAUAAAUCGAGGUUUUAAGUCACAAAUAUCCCUUCCAAAAUGCGCCCUCGACUUAUAUGCGAAGUCGACUUGAAUUCGGGAUAAUAUGAUAAAUUUACCUUACCAGUUAAGCGAACAUUUUUAUCGACCGAUCGGUUUUUAUCGAUAGUUCGAAGAUGCGCGCGUAAUCUGCGAUAUAUCCAAAAUUCGGAUUUCAAUUUUUUCAAAAAGCAAUUGUUUCGCGCAACUUUUUUUUUAGAUAGCAUCGGUUACAUUUAUAAACAGAUUGCAAACAAGAGGUUUCGUGCGAU